GAUGAAGAACGUAGCGAAAUGCGAUAAGUAAUGUGAAUUGCAGAAUUCAGUGAAUCAUCGAAUCUUUGAACGCACAUUGCGCCCCCUGGUAUUCCGGGGGGCAUGCCUGUUCGAGCGUCAUUUCACCACUCAAGCCUCGCUUGGUAUUGGGCAACGCGGUCCGCCGCGUGCCUCAAAUCGACCGGCUGGGUCUUCUGUCCCCUAAGCGUUGUGGAAACUAUUCGCUAAAGGGUGUUCGGGAGGCUACGCCGUAAAACAACCCCAUUUCUAAGGUUGACCUCGGAUCAGGUAGGGAUACCCGUUGAACUUAAGCAUAUCAAUAAGCGGAGGA
rnacentral:misc_RNA from 1 species